rnacentral:rRNA from 1 species
AUUGAACGCUGGCGGCAGGCCUAACACAUGCAAGUCGAACGAGUGGCGGACGGGUGAGUAAUGUCUGGGAAACUGCCUGAUGGAGGGGGAUAACUACUGGAAACGGUAGCUAAUACCGCAUACCAUCGGAUGUGCCCAGAUGGUAGUAGCUAGUAGGUGGGGUACAGGCUCACCUAGGCGACGCUCCCUAGCGGGGCUGAGAGGAGGACCAGCCACAUUGGAAAUGAGACACGGUCCAGACGACGACGGGAGGUAGCAGUGGGGAAUAUUGCACAAUGGGCGCAAGCCUGAUGCAGCCAUGCCGCGUGUAUGAAGAAGGCCUUCGGGUUGUAAAGUACUUUCAGCGGGGAGGCGUUACCCGCAGAAGAAGCACCGGCUAACUCCGUGCCAGCAGCCGCGGUAAUAC